rnacentral:rRNA from 1 species
UAGGGAAUCUUCCGCAAUGGACGCAAGUCUGACGGAGCAACGCCGCGUGAGUGAUGAAGGUCUUCGGAUCGUAAAACUCUGUUAUUAGGGAAGAACAAAUGUGUAAGUAACUAUGCACGUCUUGACGGUACCUAAUCAGAAAGCCACGGCUAACUACGUGCCAGCAGCCGCGGUAAUACGUAGGUGGCAAGCGUUAUCCGGAAUUAUUGGGCGUAAAGCGCGCGUAGGCGGUUUUUUAAGUCUGAUGUGAAAGCCCACGGCUCAACCGUGGAGGGUCAUUGGAAACUGGUUGACUUGAGUGCAGAAGAGGGGAGUGGAAUUCCAUGUGUAGCGGUGAAAUGCGUAGAUAUAUGGAGGAACACCAGUGGCGAAGGCGACUCUCUGGUCUGUAACUGACGCUGAGGCUCGAAAGCGUGGGUAGCAAACAGG